AUGAUAACUGGGAGCAGGGAGAGCAGAGCUCCCUGCUCCCGCCACGAUGUAGUCUCUCAGGUACCUACCCAGAAGGAGAAGUCGGUGAGUCUGUUUAUACUCCCUCUUCUGCUCCUUGAGCGCCCGGUCGAUGCUUUUGCUCACUUUCUUCGCCUCCCUCUCGGCCUCGCGUUCCUCCACGCGCAGCUUGUCCCAGUGCUGCUUGAGCGGCUGCUGCUUUUGCUUGCCAUGCUUCUGCUGUUGCUGUUUCUGCUGUUUCUGCUGUUGUUGCUGCUGCUGCUGCUGCUUCGUUUGCUGCUGCUUCGUUUGCUGCUGCUUCGUUUGCUGCUGCUUCGUUUGCUGCUGCUGCUGCUGCUGUGGUGGCGGCGGCUCCGAUUCCGAGGUCGUAGCGUUGGAAGUGGAGCCGCUGGGAUCCCCGAAGAGCCGUGGCCGCAGACUGUAGCACAGUCCCAUGUUUCACUGAGGAACGGGGUGUGGGGAACCAGAGGAGGAGGAGGAGGUAGAGGAGGAGAAGGAAGGGGAGGGAGAGGAGGCAGGAGAGGGGGAGGGGGAAGAGGAGGAGGAGGAGGAAGAAGAAGAGGCAGGGGAGGGGGGGUCGGGGUGGGGGGGAGCCGAGAGGAAACACCUUCCCUCGCCGCUCCCCCCACCCCCACCCCCCUGCUCUGGCAGCAAGUGCUGCCGAAUCACGACCCCUUUAGCUGAGGUAUCCAGGGGGCAGCCCGGCAGGGACCUACAGCCGCAUGGCUGCCCGCGAACUGCGGAGAGAGGAUGCAGUAGGUCUGGGCCGAGCAAGCGAGUGGCAGAAUCCCUUACAUCCCCAAUAUGCCAUUUUGCAUUUUCCUCCCGCAGCGGCAGCAGCGGCAGCUAUACCGCUCGGCUGGGCUCGGCUCCUAGCUCCAGAUCACCUGACACCAAGGGAGAGAGGACAGCGCCGUCGGUCCCCCCCCCCCCCUUUAUUCUCCCACUCAUUCCCCAGCCCGCCCCCUCCUUUACCGUAAAUACCGCUGCCCAAGAUGAGAGCGCAGCAGUGGACGGUAGCGAUUGGCAGCUACUGAGGUUCUCUCACCCCUCCUCCCUCUCCCAACCUAGACUGCCACCUGAACAUCGUCCCUGAACUGUGGUCUCACUUAAAAAAGACGUACUGCUUAUGAGAAU
rnacentral:lncRNA from 1 species